rnacentral:rRNA from 1 species
GACGAACGCUGGCGGCGUGCCUAAUACAUGCAAGUCGAACGCAGUGGGGACGGGUGAGUAACACGUGGGUAACCUCCCAUCAGAGGGGAUAACACUUGGAAACAGGUGCUAAACCGAUACUGAUGGAUGGACCCGCGGUUCAUUAGCUUGUUGGUGUGGUAACGGCUCACCAAGGCCACGAUGCAUAGCCGACCGGGGAGGGUGAUCGGCCAGACGGAGACUAGGACAGGGCCCAAACUCCUACGGGAGGCAGCAGUGGGGAAUCUUCGGCAAUGGACGAAAGUCGGACCGAGCAACGCCGCGUGAGUGAAGAAGGUUUUCGGAUCGUAAAACUCUGUUGUUAGGAAAGCGGUAUCUAACCAGAAAGCAACGGCUAACUACGUGCCAGCGCCGCGGUAAUAC